rnacentral:rRNA from 1 species
GACGAACGCUGGCGGCGUGCCUAAUACAUGCAAGUCGAGCGAAGUUUUUCUGGUGCUUGCACCGGAAAAACUUAGCGGCGAACGGGUGAGUAACACGUAAAGAACCUGCCUCAUAGACUGGGACAACUAUUGGAAACGAUAGCUAAUACCGGAUAAUAGCAUUAACUGCAUGGUUGAUGUUUAAAAGUUGGUUUUGCUAACACUAUGAGAUGGCUUUGCGGUGCAUUAGCUAGUUGGUGGGGUAAAGGCCUACCAAGGCGACGAUGCAUAGCCGACCUGAGAGGGUGAUCGGCCACACUGGGACUGAGAUACGGCCCAGACUCCUACGGGAGGCAGCAGUAGGGAAUCUUCCGCAAUGGGCGAAAGCCUGACGGAGCAACGCCGCGUGAGUGAAGAAGGAUUUCGGUUCGUAAAGCUCUGUUGUUAGGGAAGAAUGAUUGUGUAGUAACUAUACACAGUAGAGACGGUACCUAACCAGAAAGCCACGGCUAACUACGUG